CUUCGAUGAAGAGGUGAUGACAAGUCUGAAGAGGAGGUGUUGUCUUUUGUCCAGGAGGCCUCACUGUGCCGCGUUCUGUGGCCCAGCUGAAAGCACCGGUCAAAGAAACUUCCUCAAGAUGACCUAGAGGCAUUUGUCUGAGAAGG
rnacentral:snoRNA from 1 species